rnacentral:tRNA from 1 species
GGGCCCGUGGCCUAGUCAGGAUAAGGCGUCGGCCUUCUAAGCCGAAGAUCCGGGGUUCAAUUCCCCGCGGGCCCGCCA